GUUUCAUUUGAUCCGAUAUAAAUGCUUCAUUGUCAGGUUGAGAGACAGGACAGGAAUGGCAAGAAAGGCAGGAAUGAGGGAUCAUGGAUAGAAAAGGCUCUGAAGUUGGGAAAAUUGAGUCUGGGUCGUUUCAUCAUCAGAUAGUUCUGUCAAGAAGGAACAAGAAGAAGGAAAGAAAUGGUAUUAUUUUCUCACUUAAUGCCCAUUCAUGUCAGGCCACGUACCAGGUACUUUCAUUACAUGCCAACCAUGUGACUUGGGACAAGUUAAUUCCCAAGUCACAGUUUCCUUGGAGAUGAUACUAGUAGAAUUGUGUGAGAAUUAAGUUACUCAAUACAUGUAAAACACAAACAUGGUAGCACAUGUUAUUGAAUACAUGUAAAACAUAAACAUAGUAGCACAAAGAAAGUAUACUGUAACUAUGAUAACGAUUAUGUCUGAUUUUGUCACACUAUGCUGGUGCCUCACUUUAUCUUUGGGGUCUGUUUAUUCAUCAGUAAAACUCAGGGAGAGGGGGGUUAGGUGAGUUGAUCUCUAAGAUUAUUCAUAAAAUGUUCUGGUUCUUUUGUUUUAGAGAGCGGAGAAGGCAAAGAGGAACAGACUGGGAAAGAGACUGGAUAGAUUCUAAUAUGGUGAAAACAUCAGAAGCAGUUCAGGGACUAGGAAGUGGGAACUCUAGAGAUGACAGACAUUCUGCUGGGUGGUUUUUAAAGUUUCUUCCAGAGUCAUCUGCCUCAUUAACAACAAUUUUUGUGGAAGAAGUCUGUCUUUGAUUUUAUGAACUCACGUGACUCCUUGGUCUGUUACGAAUGCACAAUGCUCCAGUCCUUCAAUAAGCCCAUUACAUACUUUCACCAUGUCAUCUAUAGGUGCUUUUUCUCCAGUGUAAACAUCAUCUUCGUCAUCACUCUUACAAUGCUCACCUUGAUUCAGAACCAUUUUGACCAUUCACAUCAGUCAAUGAAUGAACAACUGAAGUGUCAUCAUGGACAGUAAAAACUUCUUCCAUAUCCUCUUCUUUCAGCCUACUGACAGACUCGGAAGGUGUAUAUUUCACAUAUGGCAGGAGGUCAGACUUUUUUUUCAACUUGACAUACAGAAUCCUUCAAAGUCACUACCUUGUUCUUCAUCAUCACUGAGCAUACCUGCAGGCCAGAUAUUGCACCACGCAUGCACAACUGUGUCUCUAGUUAUUGUGUUCCAAGUGUUGGAACAGUAUAUAUGGCAUCUUUCACGCCAAACUCUUUUGAAAACUUUCCACACCCAUGCCCCUGUUCCCUGCUGCUAGCCUGCUGUUCAAGAAAGUGUUUUUAUAUUUACUCUUCUUCUGUAUAUGGUGUGAAAGGAAAAUAAAUCUCAGGACCCCCAAAUCACUAAGCCAAAUGAAAAAGUCAAGGUGGGAAUUGCAUCAGACAAUUUGCCUCACAUUUUAUUCCUAAAGAAGAUAGCUACAAAGAUAAAGAGAGAGAGAAAGAAAAAGAAAGAGAAAGAAAGAAAGAAAGGAAAGAAAGAAAGGCAAGCAAGCAAGCUACAUACCUUCCUCACAAUUUGCCCACUUGGAAAUUCCUUGUGGGCUCAAGAUCUUUACCCUAAAAUGGUUCUGUUGAAUUUUAUCCUGACAGUGUAAAUUGAUAGCUUAUCUAAACAGUUGCAGGACAAAGGACAAAACCGAAAGUCAUCCCUCUGCUCACUUAAGACAAAUGCACAUCUGAAUGCUUCACCUGAUGUAAAAGUGUGAUUCACUGAGCUACAUGAAAGCAUGAGUGACUAUUAUUCCUCUACCCACCACCCCCCCAACCCCCCCUCCCUGCCAACAUGUAAAUUGUGUAUUCAGUGAAAGGCUGAUCAAACACAAAAAAGAAUGAAACAAUUUGUCUCUUAUCUACCCACAACUUUAAAAGAUGUAUUCCUUUUUCCCCAAUAUCCACCCUUUCCCUUUAAAUAUUGAAGCCCUCAAAAUAAUCUUUGGAGAAAGGCACAGACAUGUUUGCUUGGUGUACAUAUUUAACCUUGGCAAAAUAAACAUUCUAAAUUCAUUGAGACCUGUCUCAGAUACUUUUGUUUACAAAGGAUACCCUG
rnacentral:lncRNA from 1 species